rnacentral:rRNA from 1 species
CUACGGGUGGCAGCAGUGGGGAAUAUUGCACAAUGGGGGAAACCCUGAUGCAGCAACGCCGCGUGGAGGAUGACGCAUUUCGGUGUGUAAACUCCUUUUAUAUAGGAAGAUAAUGACGGUACUAUAUGAAUAAGCACCGGCUAACUCCGUGCCAGCAGCCGCGGUAAUACGGAGGGUGCAAGCGUUACUCGGAAUCACUGGGCGUAAAGCGCGCGCAGGCGGCCCCUUAAGUUGGAUGUGAAAGCCUACGGCUUAACCGUAGAACUGCAUCCAAAACUGAGGGGCUAGAGUCUGGGAGGGGAAGAUGGAAUUAGUUGUGUAGGGGUAAAAUCCGUAGAGAUAACUAGGAAUACCAAAAGCGAAGGCGAUCUUCUGGAACAGUACUGACGCUGAGGCGCGAAAGCGUGGGGAGCAAACAGGAUUAGAUACCCCUGUAGUC